CAAGUAUAGGACCAAGCCGAAACAGGGUGGCAGAUACCUUGUAUUUAAGAGGAGAAUGAAUUUUAAAGGUCAGAGACAUGAGUCCUGGAUCUACUGGCUGCGUCCCAGCCUCUGAUUCUGUGAUGCUGGGAUGGGUGCUUUGCUCUUCAAGGUUUUUAUGAUAAAUGUUGUCUGGAACACUUUGUAAGGCGACUCAUAAGAUCCCUCUGUUUAUUACCUGGGAGCUACUUCAAAGGCCACUCAUUAGUCCAAAUGACGCACUAGCUGACGAUGACUCUGGGAUAUUAAUCGGGCUUGCCGACCUCAUCGUGCUCUAAGAAACCAAGACUUGAGGUCUUGAAUUCUAGUUUCAACACUUUGCGGACAGCGUUGAAUGGUCCUGCUACGGGACUCUGUAGCCAGAGCAGCGGAUGACGCAUCGUCACGCCCCCUGUCAGUACGUCCUGGUUGGAGCUAAGCACAGACUGUACUCUGCGCUGUUAACAGGGACUGCAGGCUGUGCCAGAGGUUCAUCUGCCAGCAGCUGAUUGAUGGGAUAAACAGAAGAGAGUGCAAGACAGACACGCCUUGCUUCUGCCUUUGGCAGGUGGUAAUCAAUCUACCAGCUUCCCAGAGGAAAAGACCCCGAACCUUGAAAUGGAGGAGGAGCCUCUCCCGCCAAGAUCUUAGCUGCGACACAAGAUCUCCUAUACUCAGGGG
rnacentral:lncRNA from 1 species